UACGUAGGGUGCAAGCGUUGUCCGGAAUUAUUGGGCGUAAAGAGCUCGUAGGCGGUUCGUCGCGUCGGCUGUGAAAACUCGGGGCUUAACCCCGGGCCUGCAGUGGGUACGGGCAGACUAGAGUGCGGUAGGGGAGACUGGAAUUCCUGGUGUAGCGGUGAAAUGCGCAGAUAUCAGGAGGAACACCGGUGGCGAAGGCGGGUCUCUGGGCCAUUACUGACGCUGAGGAGCGAAAGCGUGGGGAGCGAACAGG
rnacentral:rRNA from 1 species